CUUUUGUUAAGUAAGUUCUGCUAUGAGAUCCACUUUCUCAUAUCUCUUUGCAAGGAGCAUGCCAAUACAUGCAUUACUACAAGAGAAUCUUAAUCUCAGUCUCAAUGAGUUUGAAACUGGAGUUCAUUUUGCUACAUUGGGCAAAAGCAAUAUCUGAGUUUAUUUUUUUUGUGAAAUGGAGGUGCUAACAAGUUUUGGUUUCUGUAAUUGCACAGGCUGUGCAACACAACAAAGCUAGUGUUGCCACGGAAAAUAAUAUUUUAAAUUUCUUGCCUUUUGUGAUGUCUAGCACCUCAGCUUUAAUAUUCCAUUAACAUUUUUCAAUUUAUCCCCUCAAUGACUUUGGCGAUCCUCACUUGUCAUGUCACGUCUUUGAAAACCAUUCAGGUCAUGGUGCAUGUUUUUCUAUUUGUCCUAGAAAACCUCCUGCAUGCUUCUGGAAACUGUAAAAAGAAUAGUCCUGAAUUUUACACCUAAUAUAGACCAGCAUCAGCAGCAGAUCCACCGUCUAUAUCAUCAAGGAACACUAAUGACCUGUGGAGAGUCCAAGUCCCCUCCAUGUGAUCCUCAGGAAAACAGCACUAAUGUACACAGCACGUCUUGCUGCUCUCAGUUAUAGAGGGAGAAAUACUCAGGACUUCAGGAGGUCACACUUCCAGAAAGGCAAGAUAAACGAAAGAUUGCAAACAGAUAUUCACUAGAUGUGAACAGGGAAUAGGACACAAGCUCUAUUUUUAGAAGAAGGGGAUGCUGUCAGGGAAAGGAAGAGGUAAUAUUAAUGUAGGGAAAGAUAUUUUUGUCUGAGAUGGGGGGAGAAAGAAGGUGAAGUUUAGUUGCAGACAUUAGGCAUUUCUUCUUUGCAGUGAAAUAACAUUUCUUUUAAGUGUUACCUUCAAUGCUGUUGAAUGCUAAUUGCUCUGCAUGCGUGAGAGAAGUUGAUCCUGCAUCCCCUCUUACACUCCUCACACCAGAUAGCUGUAGGCAGUAUCUGUUUCCCAGAGGGUUUGACAACUCUAUGGAGCUUAAAAGAAAGGCAAAGUCACAUGGCAAAGAAGCAAUAUUGUGAGAUAACUGGUAGUGUGUGACUUGAGGUUUAUGGGAUGAAAAUCAAGAUGAAAUAUAGACAGGAUCUGCAAGAUGCUGAGGAACUUGAGUUUGUCAGAGGGAGUGAGAAGUUGGCAUAACUCACAUAAAAGAUAGGGACUGACAGACUGCUGGGAGGGCCUGAAGUAUGAAAAUUGAGAACUGACCAUGGAAAAACAAUUAAUAGGUGUAGAGGCAA
rnacentral:lncRNA from 1 species